ensembl:snRNA U6 U6 spliceosomal RNA
AUGGCAUCUUUGGCAGCACAUAUCCUAAAAUUGGAAUGAUACAGAGAAGAUUAACAUGGCCCUUGCACAAGGAUGAUAUGCAAAUUAAUGAAGCAUUCUGUGUUUUU